GGGAGUUUGGUCUAGUGGUAUGAUUCUCGCUUCGGGUGCGAGAGGCCACGAGGUUCGUUUCUCGUAACUCCUC
rnacentral:tRNA from 1 species